AGCAGCCGCGGUAAUUCCAGCUCCAAUAGCGUAUAUUAAAGUUGUUGCAGUUAAAAGCUCGUAGUUGAAUUUCGGGGUUAGUAGGUUGGUCAUGCCUCUGGUAUGUACUGGUCUCACUGAUUCCUCCUUCCUGAUGAACCUUAAUGCCAUUAAUUUGGUGUUUUGGGGAAUUUGGACUGUUACUUUGAAAAAUUAGAGUGUUUAAAGCAAGCUAACGCUUGAAUACAUUAGCAUGGAAUAAUGAAAUAGGACGUUCGAUCCUAUUUUGUUGGUUUCUAGGAUUGACGUAAUGAUUAAUAGGGAUAGUUGGGGGCAUUAGUAUUCAAUUGUCAGAGGUGAAAUUCUUGGAUUUAUUGAAGACUAACUACUGCGAAAGCAUUUGCCAAGGAUGUUUUCAUUAAUCAAGAACGAAAGUUAGGGAUCGAAGACGAUCAGAUACCGUCGUAGUCU
rnacentral:rRNA from 1 species